rnacentral:rRNA from 1 species
UACAGAGGUCUCAAGCGUUGUUCGGAUUCACUGGGCGUAAAGGGUGCGUAGGCGGUCGGGUAAGUCUGACGUGAAAUCUUCAAGCUCAACUUGGAAACUGCGUCGGAUACUAUUCGGCUCGAGGAAUGGAGGGGAGACUGGAAUUCUCGGUGUAGCAGUGAAAUGCGUAGAUAUCGAGAGGAACACCAGUGGCGAAGGCGAGUCUCUGGACAUCUCCUGACGCUGAGGCACGAAAGCCAGGGGAGCAAACGGG